UUGAACGCUGGCGGCAGGCCUAACCCAUGCAAGUCGAGCGGAUGAAGGGAGCUUGCUCCUGGAUUCAGCGGCGGACGGGUGAGUAAUGCCUAGGAAUCUGCCUGGUAGUGGGGGAUAACGUCCGGAAACGGGCGCUAAUACCGCAUACGUCCUGAGGGAGAAAGUGGGGGAUCUUCGGACCUCACGCUAUCAGAUGAGCCUAGGUCGGAUUAGCUAGUUGGUGGGGUAAAGGCCUACCAAGGCGACGAUCCGUAACUGGUCUGAGAGGAUGAUCAGUCACACUGGAACUGAGACACGGUCCAGACUCCUACGGGGGGCAGCAGUGGGGAAUAUUGGACAAUGGGCGAAAGCCUGAUCCAGCCAUGCCGCGUGUGUGAAGAAGGUCUUCGGAUUGUAAAGCACUUUAAGUUGGGAGGAAGGGCAGUAAGUUAAUACCUUGCUGUUUUGACGUUACCAACAGAAUAAGCACCGGCUAACUUCGUG
rnacentral:rRNA from 1 species